rnacentral:rRNA from 1 species
CCUACGGGAGGCAGCAGUGAGGAAUAUUGGUCAAUGGUCGGGAGACUGAACCAGCCAAGCCGCGUGAGGGAUGAAGGUACAGAGUAUCGUAAACCUCUUUUGUCAGGGAACAAAGGCGGGGACGUGUGCCCGGAUGAGUGUACCCGAAGAAAAAGCAUCGGCUAACUCCGUGCCAGCAGCCGCGGUAAUACGGGGGAUGCGAGGGUUUUCCGGUUUUAUUGGGGUUAAGGGGGGCGCAGGCGGCCAGUUAAGGCACGGGUCAAAGCCCGGGGCCAAACCCCGGCCCGCCGUUGAAAAUGGGAGGCUCGAGUGGGAGGGAGGUAUGCGGAAUGCGGGGUGUAGCGGUGAAAUGCGUAGAUAUCGCGCAGAACUCCGAUUGCGAAGGCAGCAUGCCGGCUCCACACUGACGCUGAGGCACGAAAGCGUGGGUAUCGAACAGGAUUAGAUACCCGGGUAGUC